rnacentral:rRNA from 1 species
UAGGGUGCGAGCGUUAAUCGGAAUACUGGGCGUAAAGCGUGCGCAGGCGGCUUUGCAAGACAGAGGUGAAAUCCCCGGGCUCAACCUGGGAACUGCCUUUGUGACUGCAAGGCUAGAGUACGGCAGAGGGGGAUGGAAUUCCGCGUGUAGCAGUGAAAUGCGUAGAUAUGCGGAGGAACACCGAUGGCGAAGGCAAUCCCCUGGGCCUGUACUGACGCUCAUGCACGAAAGCGUGGGGAGCAAACAGGAUUAGAUACCCUGGUAGUCAAGGGCG